rnacentral:rRNA from 1 species
GAUGAACGCUGGCGGCGUGCCUAAUACAUGCAAGUCGAGCGAACAGAUAAGGAGCUUGCUCCUUUGACGUUAGCGGCGGACGGGUGAGUAACACGUGGGUAACCUACCUAUAAGACUGGAAUAACUCCGGGAAACCGGGGCUAAUGCCGGAUAACAUUUAGAACCGCAUGGUUCUAAAGUGAAAGAUGGUUUUGCUAUCACUUAUAGAUGGACCCGCGCCGUAUUAGCUAGUUGGUAAGGUAACGGCUUACCAAGGCAACGAUACGUAGCCGACCUGAGAGGGUGAUCGGCCACACUGGAACUGAGACACGGUCCAGACUCCUACGGGAGGCAGCAGUAGGGAAUCUUCCGCAAUGGGCGAAAGCCUGACGGAGCAACGCCGCGUGAGUGAUGAAGGUCUUCGGGUCGUAAAACUCUGUUAUUAGGGAAGAACAAAUGUGUAAGUAACUGUGCACGUCUUGACGGUACCUAAUCAGAAAGCCACGGCUAACUACGUG